rnacentral:rRNA from 1 species
UAGGGAAUCUUCCGCAAUGGGCGAAAGCCUGACGGAGCAACGCCGCGUGAGUGAUGAAGGUCUUCGGAUCGUAAAACUCUGUUAUUAGGGAAGAACAAAUGUGUAAGUAACUAUGCACGUCUUGACGGUACCUAAUCAGAAAGCCACGGCUAACUACGUGCCAGCAGCCGCGGUAAUACGUAGGUGGCAAGCGUUAUCCGGAAUUAUUGGGCGUAAAGCGCGCGUAGGCGGUUUUUUAAGUCUGAUGUGAAAGCCCACGGCUCAACCGUGGAGUGUCAUUGGAAACUGGAAAGCUUGAGUGCAGAAGAGGCAAGUGGAAUUCCCUGUGUAGCAGUGAAAUGCGCAGAGAUAUGGAGGAACACGAGUGGCGAAGGCGACUUUCUGGUAUGUAACUGACGCUGAUGUGCGAAAGCGUGGGGAUCAAACAGG